GCCAACUUAGCUCAGCGGUAGAGCUACCGCCUUGUAAGCGGUGGGUCAUCGGUUCAAGUCCGAUAGUUGGCUCCA
rnacentral:tRNA from 2 species